CAGGUCAGGAAUUUCUACUCCCACACGUCAAGAGGUGAACCACCCCUCACUUCAUCUCUCCCUGACCAGGGUCCCCGGAGACUGGCCACUGGUUUCCAUUUUGUUGUUGCCGUACUUCUGGGAUACCCCCAACAGUGCCCAGGCCUUACACCUGACUCAGGGAUCAUUGCUGCCAGCUGGGGUCAGAGGCCUAUAAGUUUUGCCCAG